UACGCAGGGGGCUAGCGUUGUUCGGAAUUACUGGGCGUAAAGCGCGCGCAGGCGGUCUUCCAAGUCAGUGGUGAAAGCCCGGAGCUCAACUCCGGAACUGCCAUUGAAACUGUUGGACUUGAGUACGAGAGAGGUGAGUGGAAUUCCCAGUGUAGAGGUGAAAUUCGUAGAUAUUCGGCGGAACACCAGUGGCGAAGGCGACUCACUGGCCCGAUACUGACGCUGAGGCGCGAAAGCGUGGGGAGCAAACAGG
rnacentral:rRNA from 1 species